GGCAUGGUCCCCUCUGACUUGAAUGAGAACCAGCCGAUAGUUCAUCCUGGUGUGCUGACAAAACUGCUUACAGUUCUGGAGAAAAUCAAGACAUGUAAUACUGACAAUGCCACACACCACGCAGAGGCUUGCAGGAUCAUUUCUAAUUUUAAUUCAACUUGUUUAAAUUCUGAUGAGAAUCCAACUUUUAUUUAAUUUUCUGCAAUCAAGCUGGAAGCUCUGCUGGCUCCACAAUAUUCAGAAACAUUACUCUCUCAGGGUGGUUGCAAGCAGCUUCCAGAUGCCCCCCUUUCCUAAGGCAGAGCUGUUGGAUGAGGGAGCCUUGGAGCCAGGAGCACUCAGGUGUUAGGAGCACUCCAGUGCUAGCAGCCCUGGCAGCAGCAUGGGAAUGUGGCUGCAGACCAGGUACACGUGUGAGCUGCUAUGAGGCCAAGGCAUUCCAGGACCUGAAGACCAACGGCCUCAAGAAAACUCUCCCUAGACCCAUGAAGGGACUAGAGGUCUGGGCUACAAAAUGUGACCCUUUGAGUGAUUGUGCAUCAUCUGGGGAAGGAACAAUGCUGCAGAGCAGGACCACAUCAUUCUCCAGAGUUUCUGCUUGA
rnacentral:lncRNA from 1 species